rfam:Oryza glaberrima chromosome 12 Oglab12_0244_1, whole genome shotgun sequence.
AAAAAGGCAAACCCUGGGUUUCCGUGCCAACGUUUGACUGUCCGUCUUAUAUAAUUUUUUUAUAAUUAGUAUUUUCAUUGUUGUUAGAUGAUAAAACAUGAUUAAUACUUUAUGCGUGACUUAUCUUUUUAUUUUUUCAUAAUUUUUUUAAUAAGACGGACGGUCAAACUUUGGACACGGAAACCAGGGUUUGUCUUUUU